UACGAAGGGGGCUAGCGUUGCUCGGAAUCACUGGGCGUAAAGCGCACGUAGGCGGCUUUUUAAGUCAGGGGUGAAAUCCUGGAGCUCAACUCCAGAACUGCCUUUGAUACUGGCGAUCUCGAGUCCGGGAGAGGUGAGUGGAACUGCGAGUGUAGAGGUGAAAUUCGUAGAUAUUCGCAAGAACACCAGUGGCGAAGGCGGCUCACUGGCCCGGUACUGACGCUGAGGUGCGAAAGCGUGGGGAGCGAACAGG
rnacentral:rRNA from 1 species